rnacentral:rRNA from 1 species
UACAGAGGUCUCAAGCGUUGUUCGGAUUCAUUGGGCGUAAAGCGUGCGUAGGUGGUUUGUUAAGUCUGAUGUGAAAGCCCUGGGCUCAACCUGGGAAUUGCAUUGGAUACUGGCAGGCUAGAGUGCGGUAGAGGAUGGCGGAAUUCCCGGUGUAGCAGUGAAAUGCGUAGAGAUCGGGAGGAACAUCUGUGGCGAAGGCGGCCAUCUGGACCAGCACUGACACUGAGGCACGAAAGCGUGGGGAGCAAACAGG